GACGAACGCUGGCGGCGUGCCUAACACAUGCAAGUCGAACGGACAGGCCCUGCCUUUGUGGGGUGCUCGCGUGGCGAACGGGGGAGUAACCCGUGAGUCACCCGCCCUUGACUUUGGGAAAACCUCAGGAAACUGGGGCUAAUACCGGAUAGAAGCUUCUGCUGCAUGGUGGGGGAGGUAAAGUAUGGGCGGUUGGGGAUGGACUCGCGGCUUAUCAGCUUGUAGGUGGGGGAGUGGCUUACCACGGCUUUGACGGGUAGCCGGCCUUAGAGGGGAGCCGGCGACAAUGGGACUGAGAUACGGAGCAGACGCGUACGGGAGGCAGCAGUGGAGAAUAUUGCACAGUGAGCGGAAGCCUGAUGCAGCGGCGCCGCGUGCGUGAUGACGGCCUGCGAGUUAUAAACCGCUUUCGCCUGUGACGAAGCGUGAGUGACGGUAAUGGGUAAAGAAGCACCGGCUAACUACGUG
rnacentral:rRNA from 1 species